rnacentral:rRNA from 1 species
UGAGGAAUUUUCUGCAAUGGGCGAAAGCCUGACAGAGCAAUACCGCGUGAGGGAUGAAGGCUUACGAGUUGUAAACCUCUUUUCUCAAGGAGGAAGAAUGACGUUACUUGAGGAAUAAGCAUCGGCUAACCCUGUGCCAGCAGCCGCGGUAAUACAGGGGAUGCAAGUGUUAUCCGGAAUUAUUGGGCGUAAAGCGUCUGCAGGUGGAAUGAUAAGUCUUUUGUUAAAUCUUUGAGCUUAACUCAAAAUCUGCAAAGGAAACUGUCUUUCUUGAGUAUGAUAGAGGUAAAGGGAAUUUCCAGUGGAGCGGUGAAAUGCGUAGAUAUUGGAAAGAACACCAAGAGCGAAGGCACUUUACUGGGUCAUUACUGACACUCAGAGACGAAAGCUAGGGGAGCAAACGGG